GGGAUUUUGGUCUAGUGGUAUGAUUCUCGCUUCGGGUGUGAGAGAUUCUGGGUUCGAUUCCCUGAAAUCCCU
rnacentral:tRNA from 1 species